UGUAGACGCAACAUUUCCACAACUUUGCGUUAAUUUUCUAAAUAUUUUUGAAAAAUGUUCAAAUUGUAUUUGUGAGCGACGCGCCGCAGGCCACAGAAAAUUCACAAUAAAGUGUGGCAACUUUUGCAGCUUUUCAACUUUUCCACCAGCGCUUCAACGACGACGACGCUGACGACGAUGUUGAGGAGGAUGACGUUGAUGCUCCCAGGCAAAAGCAGGUGGGCGUGUUUAAGGCCAGGGACGGACGGGAGGGGGGGCAGCUGUGGCAUGGAGUGGGCAGUCAGGAAAUUGAGUGCAUAAUAUAUAAAUAUAUAUAUAUAUUUAGCUAGUUAGCUGGUGUGCACAAUAAAUACAAAAGCGCGUCGACUUAAUAAAUAUGCAUGAGCAUUGUGUGCACAAAAGAAUGCAACGCCCCCGCUGCCGUCCCGCCCACUGUGCACCUUGAGGCUGGGAGGGCUGCAUCCAUUUGACAUCGCGUGCCGUCGAGUGAUUUUCCCGCCGCAUUGGCCAAUUCUGGCGGCGCAUGCUUGGCCCCAGCGGAAAAAAAAAUAAAAAAACAAAAACAAAAGAUAAUAAUAAUUAAAGCGCGCCGAGCGGCAAAGCAAAUCUCA